rnacentral:rRNA from 1 species
AGAGUUCGAUCCUGGCUCAGGAUGAACGCUGGCGGCGCGCCUAACACAUGCAAGUCGAACGGCACCCCUCUUUCGAGGGAAGCGAGUGGCGAACGGCUGAGUAACACGUGGAGAACCUGCCCCCUCCCCCGGGAUAGCCGCCCGAAAGGACGGGUAAUACCGGAUACCCCCGGGAGCCGCAUGGCUCCCGGGCUAAAGCCCCGACGGGAGGGGAUGGCUCCGCGGCCCAUCAGGUAGACGGCGGGGUGACGGCCCACCGUGCCGACAACGGGUAGCCGGGUUGAGAGACCGACCGGCCAGAUUGGGACUGAGACACGGCCCAGACUCCUACGGGAGGCAGCAGUGGGGAAUCUUGCGCAAUGGGGGGAACCCUGACGCAGCGACGCCGCGUGCGGGACGGAGGCCUUCGGGUCGUAAACCGCUUUCAGCAGGGAAGAGUCAAGACUGUACCUGCAGAAGAAGCCCCGGCUAACUACGUGCCAGCAGCCGCGGUAAUACGUAGGGGGCGAGCGUUAUCCGGAUUCAUUGGGCGUAAAGCGCGCGUAGGCGGCCCGGCAGGCCGGGGGUCGAAGCGGGGGGCUCAACCCCCCGAAGCCCCCGGAACCUCCGCGGCUUGGGUCCGGUAGGGGAGGGUGGAACACCCGGUGUAGCGGUGGAAUGCGCAGAUAUCGGGUGGAACACCGGUGGCGAAGGCGGCCCUCUGGGCCGAGACCGACGCUGAGGCGCGAAAGCUGGGGGAGCGAACAGGAUUAGAUACCCUGGUAGUCCACGCCGUAAACGAUGGAUACUAGGUGUGGGAGGUAUUGACCCCUUCCGUGCCGCAGUUAACACAAUAAGUAUCCCACCUGGGGAGUACGGCCGCAAGGUUGAAACUCAAAGGAAUUGACGGGGGCCCG